rnacentral:rRNA from 1 species
CAGCAGCCACGGUAAUACGAAGGGGGCUAGCGUUGCUCGGAAUGACUGGGCGUAAAGGGCGCGUAGGCGGAUUGCGCAGUCAGAUGUGAAAUUCCUGGGCUUAACCUGGGGGCUGCAUUUGAGACGCGUAGUCUAGAGUGUGAAAGAGGGUCGUGGAAUUCCCAGUGUAGAGGUGAAAUUCGUAGAUAUUGGGAAGAACACCGGUGGCGAAGGCGGCGACCUGGUUCAUAACUGACGCUGAGGCGCGAAAGCGUGGGGAGCAAACAGGAUUAGAUACCCGCGUAGUCCCUGUCUCUUAUAC